UACGUAGGGGCCAAGCGUUGUCCGGAUUUAUUGGGCGUAAAGAGCUCGUAGGCGGUUCGGCAAGUCGACGGUGAAAUCUCCACGCUCAACGUGGAGGGGUCCGUCGAUACUGCUGUGACUCGAGUCCGGUAGGGGAGUGGUGGAAUUCCCGGUGUAGCGGUGAAAUGCGCAGGAAGAUCGGGAGGAACACCCGUAGGCGAAGGCGGCACUCUGGGCCGGUAC
rnacentral:rRNA from 1 species